rnacentral:sRNA from 1 species
UAUCUCUCCGUACGGGGAAGGAUGAGAAGCUUCGACUAAGGUUCGAUUCGAGCGCAGCGAGAAAGCGUUGCCGCAGGCAACGACCCGAAGGGCGAAGCGCGCAGCGCUGAGUCAUCCU